rnacentral:rRNA from 1 species
AUUUAAGCAUAUUAAUGAGGGGAGGAAAAGAAACUAACUAGGAUUUUCUUAGUAGCGGCGAGCGAAAAGAAAACAGUUCAGCACUAAGUUAUUUUGUUAAUUUAACAAAUAUAAGAUGCAGUGUAUGGAAUAUCAUUAUCUAGUAUAUAAAUUAACAGUUUAAGUCCUUCUUAAAUGGGGCCAUUUACCCAUAGAGGGUGCCAGGCCCGUAAAACGUUAAUUAAUAUUAGAUGGUAUUUCCUAAGAGUCGUGUUGCUUGAUAGUGCAGCACUAAUUGGGUGGUAAACUCCAUCUAAAACUAAAUAUAACCAUGAGACCGAUAGCAAACAAGUACCGUGAGGGAAAGUUGAAAAGAACUCUGAAUAGAGAGUUAAAUAGUACGUGAAACUGCUUAGAGGUUAAGCCCGAUGAACCUAAAUAUCCAAUAUGAAAAAUUCAACACUAUAAAUAUAUUAAAUAAAUAAAUAUAGUAAUAGUGUGCACUUUUUUCAUAACAGGACAUUGUAAUAUGUUAACUAAAAAAAAUUUAUCAUAAGGGCCGUAUAAGGUAGCUUAUUCAUUAUUUAAUUUUUAUUAAUUAAAUGGGGUAAAACUUAUAAUGGUUAUACAGAUAAAUAGUUGACAUAUUUUCUAUAGCUCAUACAUUUUUCGAAAUGUUAUAAUAGGAAUUUAAUCAUGUAUUAAGUUUUUCAUUUAUAUGAGUUUAUAUGAUUAACAAUGCGAUAGAUUUAGGAUACCUUCGGGACCCGUCUUGAAACACGGACCAAGAAGUCUAACAUGUGUGCAAGUCAUUGGGUUUUUUUUUGAAAACCUAAAGGCGUAAUUAACUUAACUGAAUAAAAUGGGAUUAUUUUAAUAUUUUUAAUAAAUAUUAAAAUUCAUCCCGGGGCGUUCUAUACGGUUAUGCAUUUUAAUAUUUAUAUUAUAUAUGCCUCUAACCAGAGCGUACCUUGAGCAUAUAUGCUGUGACCCGAAAGAUGGUGAACUAUACCUGAUCAGGUUGAAGUCAGGGGAAACCCUGAUGGAAGACCGAAACAGUUCUGACGUGCAAAUCGAUUGUCAGAAUUGGGUAUAGGGGCGAAAGACCAAUCGAACCAUCUAGUAGCUGGUUCCCUCCGAAGUUUCCCUCAGGAUAGCUGGUGCAUUUUAAUAUUAUAUAAUAUAAUCUUAUCUGGUAAAGCGAAUGAUUAGAGGCCUUAGGGCCGAAACGACCUUAACCUAUUCUCAAACUUUAAAUGGGUAAGAACCUCAUCUUUCUUGAUAUGAAGGUAGAGGUUAUGAUAUAUUGUGCCCAGUGGGCCACUUUUGGUAAGCAGAACUGGCGCUGUGGGAUGAACCAAACGUGAUGUUAAGGCGCCCAAAUUAACAACUCAUACUGAUACCAUGAAAGGCGUUGCUUGCUUAAAACAGCAGGACGGUGGACAUGGAAGUCGUAAUCCGCUAAGGAGUGUGUAACAACUCACCUGCCGAAGCAACUAGCCCUUAAAAUGGAUGGCGCUCAAGUUGUAUGCCUAUACAUCACCGCUAAAGCAUAUGAUUUACUUUAAAUUUUUUAAAAUCAAAUUCUAAAGCUUUAGUGAGUAGGAAGGGACAAUGGUGUGCGUAGAAGUGUUUGGCGUAAGCCUGCAUGGAGCCACCAUUGGUACAGAUCUUGGUGGUAGUAGCAAAUAAUCGAAUGAGACCUUGGAGGACUGAAGUGGAGAAGGGUUUCGUGUGAACAGUGGUUGAUCACGAGUUAGUCGGUCCUAAGUUCAAGGCGAAAGCCGAAAAAUAUUAAGUAUAUUAAUUUAAUUUAUAAUAAUAUGAAAAUGAAAUACUUAAAAAUAUUGAACGAAAGGGAAUACGGUUCCAAUUCCGUAACCUGUUGAGUAUACGUUUGUUAUUAAAAAUGGGCUUUUAUGCUCAUCCUGGUAACAGAAACAACCAUAAAGAAACCGUCGAGAGAUAUCGAAAGAGUUUUCUUUUCUGUUUUAUAGUCGUACCACCAUGGAAGUCUUUCGAAGAGAGAUAUGGUGGAUGGACUAGAAGAGCAUGGCAUUUACUGCUGUGUCGAAAAUUUCUCCUCGGGCCUUGAAAAUUUAUGGUGGGGUUACGCAAACUUCUUAACAGGCCGUACCGAUAUCCGCAGCUGGUCUCCAAGGUGAAGAGUCUCUAGUCGAUAGAAUAAUGUAGGUAAGGGAAGUCGGCAAAUUAGAUCCGUAACUUCGGGAUAAGGAUUGGCUCUGAAGAUUGAGAUAGUCGGGCUUGAUUGGGAAGCAAUAAAAAUAGUUUAUAUACUCGUUCUGGGUAAAUUUUAAGAUUACUAUGAUUCGUAAUGGAUUAUAUUGUCUGUUCCCCGGAUAGAAGUUAUGUAAACAAUUGCGGAACUUUCUUGCUAAAAAUAUAUUUAUCUUGUAUUUAUAUAUUUAUAACGAUUAUCAAUUAACAAUCAAUUCAGAACUGGCACGGACUUGGGGAAUCCGACUGUCUAAUUAAAACAAAGCAUUGUGAUGGCCCUAAC